AAUUACCCAAUCCUGACACAGGGAGGUAGUGACAAGAAAUAACAAUACAGGGCUUAAAGUCUUGUAAUUGGAAUGAUGGGAAUCUAAACCCUUCCCAGAGUAUCAAUUGGAGGGCAAGUCUGGUGCCAGCAGCCGCGGUAAUUCCAGCUCCAAUAGCGUAUAUUAAAGUUGUUGCAGUUAAGAAGCUCGUAGUUGAAUUUCUGCCUUGUCAUUAAUCUCGCUUCCGAGCGUUUUUUUAUUGACUUGGCAUCUUCUGGAUUUGGUGCCUUCGGGUACUAUUUUCCAGGAUUUACUUUGAGAAAACUAGAGUGUUUCAAACAGGCAUUCGCCUUGAAUACUACAGCAUGGAAUAAUGAAGUAGGACUUUGGUUCUAUUUUGUUGAUUAUUGAGCCAGAGUAAUGGUUAAUAGGAGCAGUUGGGGGCAUUCGUAUUUAA
rnacentral:rRNA from 1 species